GAAAUCCCACAUCUUGCUUCCCAUAAGACAAAGAAACUCAGGAAGAAGAAAAGUCAAAGCAAGAUGACUAAUCUGUGGGCCCUGGAUGUUUUUGUGCAAAGAUAAAUCAAGUGAAGCAACGUCAAGUCUCGUUAGUAAAUGAUGAAUCAGGUCGAAUAUUUUGCAAAUACGACCCGGAGCGGUUUCCUGGAAAAUCUUGACAUCAUUUACACAGCUGCUCAUGUAAACGGAUCAUCCUGAGCCUUUAUUACACUUGAGAGCCCUGCGGUGGAGUUUCCUACAAGUGGUCAGGCUUCAGCUUAGGAUCCGUCAGGGAGGUGAAGACCUCCCACUGGCGUCUGGGUAGAAACGGACCAAAGAUAGACAGCACUAAAUGCUGUGCUCAGUUUUCUGACAGCACCUCCCGACAGAUGAAAUCCAACCUUUAUGGCUCUGAAAUAUUAAUGUCGAUGCUCAAUGUCUUUUCACUCUCCCUUCCCCCCACCCAUAAUGAGUAAACGUCUCCCCUGGUUAGUGUUCGACUUCCUCGCUUCUUCGCGACUCCAACAGCUCUUUUGACAUAGGGUAAGUCUGUCAUGAAAUGGUUACGCAAGAUCACCUGAGAAUUUCAACAAAUAAAUGUUUUCCUUUAAGACACCCCCUCACAUAAUUCCAGAAAUGUGCUUCUCACACCUUGUUUAAAGUAUUAACUGUCUUGGCUUUCGGCUGCACUACAGGUUGGAAUUCAGGACUGAAGAUGUGCCCAAAUAUGAUAUGAAUGAUAUUUACUUGGCAGAUGUUGAAUUUGGCUCGAUUUUU
rnacentral:lncRNA from 1 species